UACAGGGGGUGCAAACGUUGCUCGGAAUCAUUGGGCGUAAAGCGCACGUAGGCGGUUACGUUAUGUCGGAUGUGAAAGCCCUUGGCUUAACCGAGGAAGUGCAUCCGAAACUGGCGAGCUAGAGUACGAAAGAGGAUCGCGGAAUUCCCGGUGUAGAGGUGAAAUUCGUAGAUAUCGGGAGGAACACCGGUGGCGAAGGCGGCGAUCUGGGUCGAUACUGACGCUGAGGUGCGAAAGCGUGGGGAGCAAACAGG
rnacentral:rRNA from 1 species